rnacentral:rRNA from 1 species
GCCACACUGGAACUGAAACACGGCCCAGACUCCUACGGGAGGCAGCAGUGGGGAAUAUUGCGCAAUGGGGGAAACCCUGACGCAAAGGGCGCCCACACAGGGAAGAAGGCUUUCGGGUCGUAAACCUCUGUCGGGAGGGAAGAACCUCCCAGGACUGAACAAGCCC